rnacentral:rRNA from 1 species
GGGCGUAAGAGCUCGUAGGCGGUUUGUCGCGUCUGUCGUGAAAGUCCGGGGCUUAACCCCGGAUCUGCGGUGGGUACGGGCAGACUAGAGUGCANUAGGGGAGACUGGAAUUCCUGGUGUAGCGGUGGAAUGCGCAGAUAUCAGGAGGAACACCGAUGGCGAAGGCAGGUCUCUGGGCUGUAACUGACGCUGAGGAGCGAAAGCAUGGGGAGCGAACAGGAUUAGAUACCCUGGUAGUCCAUGCCGUAAACGUUGGGCACUAGGUGUGGGGACCAUUCCACGGUUUCCGCGCCGCAGCUAACGCAUUAAGUGCCCCGCCUGGGGAGUACGGCCGCAAGGCUAAAACUCAAAGGAAUUGACGGGGGCCCGCACAAGCGGCGGAGCAUGCGGAUUAAUUCGAUGCAACGCGAAGAACCUUACCAAGGCUUGACAUGUUCUCGAUCGCCGUAGAGAUACGGUUUCCCCUUUGGGGCGGGUUCACAGGUGGUGCAUGGUUGUCGUCAGCUCGUGUCGUGAGAUGUUGGGUUAAGUCCCGCAACGAGCGCAACCCUCGUUCCAUGUUGCCAGCACGUAAUGGUGGGGACUCAUGGGAGACUGCCGGGGUCAACUCGGAGGAAGGUGAGGACGACGUCAAAUCAUCNUGCCCCUUAUGUCUUGGGCUUCNCGCAUGCUACAAUGGCCGGUACAAUGGGNUUGCGAUACUGUGAGGUGGAGCUAAUCCCNAAAAAGCCGGUCUCAGUUCGGAUUGGGGGUCUGCAACUCGACCCCC